CAGAACGAUCCAGAUCCUUGUGCUA
rnacentral:misc_RNA from 1 species